rnacentral:rRNA from 1 species
AUGCGUGAUCAGGUCGGCAUCGACCUGGACGGCUUCCCCCUCGACCACGAGUUUCCGGAGGACUAUGGGCUAGAGGAAGAGGACGAGUGCGACAUCGAAGUGGAGCCUUUGUUCGAGGACGAGCUUGCCAACCAAACGCCGGUCCUAAGCCGAAGCGCAAGAGUAAGCGCACGAAGGCGUACACAGCUGCCGAGGACAAGCUUCUUUGCGAGUGUUGGCGAGACAUUGGACAAGACCCAAAGACAGGCGCCGAGCAAAAGUAUUCGACCUUUUCGGCUCGUGUGCACCGCGAGUUUCAUGAGCGCAAGAAGUUUCCACCUUACCAAUUUGUGA